UUUCACAAGUCAGUCAGCUGUUUAGUUGUUACUUGAAUUUAACUCUACAGCGUUACACUUGUGAUAGAGCAAUUAAAAUGCGACUUGUGGCAAAAGCCGGCCGCUCAACUGUGUUCACUGUUCUAGUGGAAACGACGGGGCAAUGGAAUGUGCUUUAGUCACUUUGAGUCGUUUACUCGCCUAGAGAGUUGAGCCAGUGGAACGUGGAAAGAGGAGUAUAUUAUUCCUUGGACCACCACAUCCC
rnacentral:snoRNA from 1 species